UGUCUACAACCAGCGAGUUUAUUUCGAAU
rnacentral:sRNA from 1 species